UACGUAGGGUGCAAGCGUUGUCCGGAAUUAUUGGCGUAAAGAGCUCGUAGGCGGUCUGUCGCGUCGGCUGUGAAAACCCGGGCUCAACCCCGGCCUGCAGUCGAUACGGGCAGACUAGAGUGCGGUAGGGGAGACUGGAAUUCCUGGUGUAGCGGUGAAAUGCGCAGAUAUCAGAGGAACACCGUGGCGAAGGCGGGUCUCUGGGCCGUAACUGACGCUGAGGAGCGAAAGCGUGGGGAGCGAACAGGA
rnacentral:rRNA from 1 species